UUGCGGUCCUGGGAUACUGU
rnacentral:rRNA from 1 species